rnacentral:rRNA from 1 species
GGACUACUGGGGUAUCUAAUCCCGUUUGCUCCCCUGGCUUUCGCGUCUCAGCGUCAGUAAGAGCCCAGGACCUCGCUUUCGCCACGGGCGUUCCUUCCGAUCUCAACGCAUUUCACCGCUCCACCGGAAGUUCCAGGUCCCCCUACUCCCCUCCAGGCCGCUCGUAUCGGUGCCUAUUCCCCGGUUGAGCCGGGGGAUUUCAACAUCCGACGUGGCGACCCGCCUACACGCGCUUUAAGCCCAGUGAUUCCGAAUAACGUUCGCACGGUUCGUCUUACCGCGGCGGCUGGCAC